CUGGCAGCCUGCCCGUUUGGCAGCCUCUGCCAGAACAGUCCGUGGAGUACAGACUGCUCCCUGUCUUCUCCCAGUCUGGUCCCUGGAGAGACUCCAAUCUCCCUGCUCGAGUCCUUCCCUUUUCUGCUUAUCAUGGGGAAGGAAUAUGCGUCUAGGCGUUAAAUCGCUCGAGUGCCAGCUGGCACAGCACAGCCACAGGGCCCCAGCAGGAGCGGGCCUCAGUUCUCAGAGAGCUGCACAAAGACCAAAGCAAAUUUAUUACUGUUUUUCAGUUUACAAAUGGGAAAUCCACAACAUUGGUCAAGAAGAAAAGGCACCAUGAAUGGGAAGACCGAAGUGCAGACAACCAGCUGGAACAAGGGUGAAAAUAUAGGAGAUUACGAUCCAUUCCUGGGUGGACGGCCAGCGUUCCAUCUUCACUAACACGAUAUAGUUGAAGAGCAUCAGGUAUCCGAUAUACGCCAGCUGUAAGGAGACACAAUACAGUGCUCUGGCUGUUCAGGCCCAGGAGCCCCAGCAUCAGCCAAGGCCACUGCACAGCAGCACAGAGCAGGGUCAGCAAGCAGGACACAGACUUUAUGACAAAAGGAACUUGAAGGUGCUAAACUAACAAAAGAAUUAGAAAAGACAGUAAUACUUGAAGGAUUAUAAUAUGCAAUCUUCCUUUUGACCUGUACAUGUAUCUCUGGGGCUCUGGUGCUUCGUUUAAAUCUAUGUGUCAUGAUGCAUCAUUUCGCCUUGCAGUUACCCAUUUUUGUGUGUUUUCUUGGCUAAAAAGGGAGCCUUGGCUGUCAGUGGCGGCUCUUGCUCAGGCGUGGACCUUAGGUUCUUAAACUAGGGCAGCACAGUGGAUUUUUGCCUCACGAAUGCCAGGCAGAAUAAGUGUCUGUGAGAAGCAAAGGAAGAGGAAGACACAUGUAACACCUGUAAAUUGGUCAAACCAACAUAAAAAUAGCCCAGGCUUAAAGUGCUUCGCUUGUCAGUGCCCUGGGAGGGUCUUACCUGUUUUCAUUUCACCACUUUCCUGUCCUAAUCAAGUUAAGAUAAGAUAUUCCUUCCUGGUGUCUGCUUCAUUGAAACAACACAAGAAAAGACAACACAGUUUACAGAAAGGAAAGGGUCCGUGUGGCCUUUUGUGGACGGGUGUGGGGUUUAAUCCCCAAGAGGCUCUGGCUCGUGGGGUUGAAUCCUGAUGUGACUGGCUGAAUUGCUGGAUGUCUGGGAAGAACUCCCUAGGGUUUGGUGACUGCUCCUGGAAGAUUCAGUUGUGUCAAGAUGGAUACCUGAAAUAGGCUCUCAAAACAAGCAGGGUCUAGGAGCCAGUUGGACCCCUGCCUCCUUUCUUCUUGGACCAGAAGAGGACCCAAUCUGCUCCUAGAGAAACUUGCUACGAUGCAGAAGUGAGGUUAUAUGGAAAUGAAGUGUGUCCUACCUUUCAGAAACUUGGGAGAGUAGGAGAGACCAUUUUUGAAAAUCUGGUGAGAAAUACUCUUACAGAGAAAAACACAGCCCAAAGCACAUGGGACCUUCAAUCUGAAAUUGAAUUGUACUGUUAAGCAUGUCUGGUGAUUCAAAAGACUGGCAUACCUUAUUUCCAGUCACUUCCUCGAGGCCUGGGCUUUGUCAAUAUGUGAAGAUGAAUUUUGGAGAAUCAUGUAAACACAAUUGAACAGAUCUGGGGGAUCCAGUCUGAUGGGUUUGCUGAGGCCAAUCCAGUCAGCCACGCAGAAGUGUGCUGGACACACAGGCCCCACCACCCCCCGCCAAAGAGGCAGCCUCCCAACAAGCUGCCAAUGACAUAAGCAAAGCAGCGUGUCUCAAGUGUCUCCAAUCAUAAGAUUCGCCUGGGAAGCUGGUUAAACUAACACAGCCUCUUAGGCUCCUUCCUGAAGACUGGAUUCCAUGGGUCUAUGAUGGGGCUAGAAAUUUGCAUUUCUAACAAAACUCCCUUGUCAUCAUGGACGUUUUAGAGAUAUUGAUACUAUUAUUUCUACUGAUUUCUGCUCUCGGGAGUCUGUAAACUUUUUCUGCAAAUGGCCAACUGGUUAACUUUUAAGGCUUUGUAGAACCGAUAGUCUCUCUCUGUCUCUCACUACUCAUCAACUUGAUGUGGUAGCACAAAAGCAGUCAGUCAGCCUAUUGCUAAUGGUAAAUGAGAUUUAGCCUAAAGCUGCCUCCUUAAGUUCGGCCUGAAGUUUUCUCUGUACAUUGUGAACUAUAACAAAUGAAGGUGUAACAAGACCAAUCACCGAGUUUCGGUCAAUCAAAUGUAGCCAACUGCUCAAACUGUGUUCAAAUAAGGCAAACGCUGAGCUGUAACCAAUCCAGCUGUUUCUGUACCUCACUUCCGUUUUCUGUAUGCCACUUCCCUUUUUCUGUCCAUAAAUCUUCCACCACGUGGCCCUGCCAGAGUCUCUGAGCCUACUCUGGCUUGGAAGACUGCCCAAUUCACGAAUCGUUCAUUUGCUCAAUUAAACUCCUUUAAAUUUAUUCGGCUCAAGUUUUUCUUUUAACAGAAAUCAAGAGUCUGCCUGUGUUCCAAUUAUUUAUGGACACUAAAAUUUGAAUAUGUGUUUCAAGUAUUCCUUUUCAAAUUUUAUUAAAAAUGUAAAAACCAUUCUCAGUUCGCAGGCCACAAUCACAGGCCAUGGGUUGAAUUUGGCUCAAAAGCUGUAGUUUGCCAAGCCCUGUUCUAAGCUAACAGUUGGGGAAUCAUAAUAUAAAAGGAAGGACAGACCUGGGUGUGAAAUAGCUGCAAAAAUAUUAUCUCGGGCUGGGCGCAGUGGUUAUUGCCUGUAAUCCCAGCACUUUGGUAGGCUGAGGCAGGCCCAUAGCUUGAGGCCAGCAGUUCAAGACCAGCCUGGCCAACGUGGCAAAACCCCAUCUCUACUAAAAAUACAAAAAUUAAUUAGCCAGGUGUGGUGGUGAACACCUGUAAUCCCAGCUACUCGGGAGGCUGAGACAUGAGACUCACUUGAAUCCAGGAGAUGGAGGUUGCAGUGAGCCAAGAUUGUACCACUGCACUCCAGCCUAGGUGACAGAGUAAGAGUUUGUCUCCUAAAUAAAUAAAUAUUAUCUUGAUAAAAUAGUUGUUAGGAUUACAAAGAGUACUUAAAUAAUAGUACCUAGAACAUUGCCUCAAACUUAGUAGGUGCUCAAUAAAAGAAAGAUAUUAUUUUUGUUGAGUGGAUGUAUGAACACAACACUGAUUAUCUAUUGCUGGGCAACGUGAAUAGCCUAGAAGAAACAAUAGUCACAGUUACAUUGUACUUAUAUGUCAAGGAACUGUUCUAAGUGCUUUACAUGUUUUAACACAUUUAAUCUUGAUUAAAUCCUAUAAAAUCGGAACUACUAUUAUUGGCAUCUUAAGAAAACUGUGGACAGAAGGGGAAAUUAAGUUGUUUGAGGGCACAUGGUAAGAGGUGCAGAUGGGAUUCCCACCCAGGCUGUCUGAUUCCAAAGUCCAUGCUUGUCACCACUAAGCUGUUUUCUGCAAGGUUAAAAAUAAUAUAGAGC
rnacentral:lncRNA from 10 species